UGAAAUAAUUGGCAAGGCAGAUACCAUGAUUCUAAAUGUGGUUUUCCCAGAGUGAGACUCAUUCACUGCACUCAGGAUGUACUGACACCUGCAAUUUCCCCAAAUGUGGGAAACUCACUUCAUAAUUUGUGGUAGUGAGGAGACUGCAGUUGUGGUCUCCCA
rnacentral:snRNA from 1 species